UGGGGAAUAUUGGACAAUGGGGGCAACCCUGAUCCAGCAAUGCCGCGUGAGUGAAGAAGGCCUUAGGGUUGUAAAGCUCUUUCGCUCGUGACGAUGAUGACGGUAACGAGAGAAGAAGCCCCGGCUAAUUCCGUGCCAGCAGCCGCGGUAAUACGGAAGGGGCUAGCGUUGUUCGGAUUUACUGGGCGUAAAGCGCAUGUAGGCGGCGGAUCAAGUGAGGCGUGAAAGGCCUGGGCUCAACCUGGGAACGGCGCUUCAGACUGAUUGGCUAGAGUUCGGGAGAGGGUGGUGGAAUUUCCAGUGUAGAGGUGAAAUUCGUAGAUAUUGGAAGGAACACCGGUGGCGAAGGCGGCCACCUGGCCCGAAACUGACGCUCAAGUGCGAAAGCGUGGGGAGCAAACA
rnacentral:rRNA from 1 species